rnacentral:rRNA from 1 species
AUACGGAGGGUGCAAGCGUUAUCCGGAAUCAUUGGGUUUAAAGGGUCCGCAGGCGGAUUAAUAAGUCAGUGGUGAAAUCCUCUCGCUCAACGAGAGAACUGCCGUUGAAACUGUUAGUCUUGAAUUCGGUCGAAGUAGGCGGAAUGUGUCAUGUAGCGGUGAAAUGCAUAGAUAUGACACAGAACACCGAUAGCGAAGGCAGCUUACUAGACCUGGAUUGACGCUCAUGGACGAAAGCGUGGGGAGCGAACAGGAUUAGAAACCCCAGUAGUCC